CUCAUUCUUCAUCUCUCUCAUCUCGCAUCCCAAGCCCUAGCCGCCCCUAAAUUCCCAAAUCCCUCACUAACGGCUCACCUCCAAAUCCACCCAAAUUAACACCCCACAAUACUCACACCCUGCUAAUCCCUAAUCCUCGCCCAUUUCCCCAGAAAAUCACCCAAACUUCCCUAUGAUUGCUUGGUCCGCUUUUGUCCUCGACACCUGAGUUUAAGGGGUUCGUUUGUGCAGGAUGCCUUAUUUUUUCUGGAAGUUUUGACUCUCAUGAGUCUUCUCUUCCAAGAAAAUUCGGUCAGAACUCCAUUUCGGGCCGAAUUCCUUGGAGGAAAGAACCUUUGGGUGGUUAAAUUGUGUAGAAUAAGGCAUCGCAACUCUUCUUGUUUUUGUCUACUCAGAGAUGGUGGCAGAAGUUUCAGUUUGUUCCAAGCUCAGGCCUCCCUUCCGAGUCUUCUAAAAUAUGGUGCACACGUAUGAGGUUGGAUCAACAACUAGGCCGGAUAGACUUUCGUGCUCCCGGUACAUUGCCCUCACCUCGGCCCAAGCGGUCCGCUUAGGUACGAAAAUGGCUCUCAACAAUGAGCCCAUCAGAAAUGUGCCAUUGGGGGAGGAAUUGGAUGAUGAUCAAGUUGAGGAGGUUCCUCUUGAACCUCAAGCAAAUAGACUAGGCCGCCUGCCUCUAAAUAAUGUUCCCGUCCCUCCCCCACCUCCACCAAGAGCAGCAGCACACCGACAACUACCGAAUAAGGGUUAUGCAAGUGCUAUAGUCCCGUUAAUGCGGGCAACUUCCAAAUCAUCAAUGUGAUGCUUACACUACUUGAGCAAUGAAGAUUCUUCACCGGGGUUCCGAGUCAAAAUGCCUAUAAGCAUAUCAAAGGGUUCGUCGAUAUUUGUUGGGGGAGCAAGCAAACCAAUGUCUCCGAAGAUGCACUGCGGUUGAGGUUUUAUCCCUUUUUUUUAUACGGGGAAAGGAAUUCGACUGGCUAGAGAGAUUGCCCAAUCAUUCCAUCCACACUUGGAAUGAAUUGGCGGAGAAGUUCAUCCCUAAAUUCUUCUCUCCGGGAUAUAUGGCGACUCUUCGGGAUGAAAUUCUUGCGUUCAAGCAAGAAUCCAAUGAAACAUUGCACGAGAUUUGGGAAAGAUAUCAUACCAUGGUUAAAGAGUGCCCGAACAAUGAUUUGACUAAGGCCAUGAUCCAACAGACCUUCUACAGGGGAAUCAACACAACAAACCAAUGUGUGGUUAACCAACUCACCGGAGGGAACUUCAUGAACACUCCAUAUGCCGAAGCAUGUGAAAUUCUUGAUGAGAUGGCGGAUACCUCUUCAGCAUGGAAAAGUAGACCAAUGUUCCGCAAGGUAACCCUAAUGUUAUGCACUUACACAAGGAGCUACAUGAUCAUGGGCAAGCUAUUGCCAAGUUGACAACUACCAUGAACCAAUUGGCCAAAGCUCAGCUUCAACAAGUUCAAGGGCCGAAACAAGUGAAUGUAAUGGAAGGUGUGAAUAUGAUGGCAAACAAGAGGCGACAACAAGGUCAACAAAUGCAAAACCGUCCGGAACAAUUCAUGCAAAAUGAUAGUGGUUAUGAACAAGGUGAUUCAUUCAAUAAGCAAGAAGAAGAAGUUCAAUAUGUCAAACAAUUAUCAAGGUAAAAAAAACAAUACUCAAGGACAAAAUCAACAACAAUGGAGGUCACAAGGGAACCAAGGUAAUUGGAACAACCAAAACCACCAAGGCAAUUGGAGUGGUGACAAUCCUAAUCAAGGCAACUAGAACAAUCAAGGAAAUCAAGGAAAUUGGGAUAAUCAAGGCAAUUGGGGUGACAACAAUCAAAACAAUUGGGGAGGAAAUAACCAAGGAGGGUGGAAGAACAACAACAAUCGGGGGUCAGGUUUUCAAAGGCCCCCGAUGUUCCAACAACCAAGCAAUCCACCUCCCUAUCCUUCUCAAGGCCCAAGCUCUUCUUCCAAUGAUAUGGGUAGAAUUGAAAACAUGUUUAAACAGAUGAUGGAGAAGAAUCCCGACUCCGAUGCUCAAAUAGCCUCGCACAACACUUCUAUUCGGAAUUUGGAGGUUCAAUUAGGCCAAAUCUCACUAGCUUUGAACACUCGUCCUAAGGGGGCACUACCUAGUGAUACGGUGGUGAACCCAAAGGAUGGGAAUAAUACGGGACAUGUUAUGGCCGUAACUACUAGAAGUGGAAAAGGUGGAGAUGCAACCACCUCAAAUCAAAGAAGGAUUGUGGAUGAAGAUGUUGUGGUUCAAGAAG